rnacentral:rRNA from 1 species
AUACGGAGGGGGCUAGCGUUGUUCGGAAUUACAGGGCGUAAAGCGCGCGUAGGCGGAUCGUUAAGUCAGGGGUGAAAGCCCGGAGCUCAACUCCGGAACUGCCCUUGAUACUGGCGAUCUCGAGUCCGGGAGAGGUGAGCGGAAUUCCUAGUGUAGAGGUGAAAUUCGUAGAUAUUAUGAGGAACACCAGUGGCGAAGGCGGCUCACUGGCCCGGUACUGACGCUGAGGUGCGAAAGCGUGGGGAGCAAACAGGAUUAGAAACCCUAGUAGUCC